rnacentral:pre_miRNA from 1 species
UUAACUCAGAUUUGUAUGGAGUUGGAAUGUUUGCCUACGUUUGCCGCUAGAGGCGCUGUUCCAACUGCAUACAAAUUUGAGUUA